rnacentral:lncRNA from 1 species
UCUCGGUCCUUCUACUCUCGCGAGUCUGUAUUUGACCAUCGUGAUAUAUAUACAGUAGGUUAGCAACCGUCAACUCAAUUCGAUUCACUCAUUUUACACAUCUGAUUCAGUUCAUCCAUUUUGCAAAUCAGAUUCACAAUCAGAUUUUGCUUCCAUUUUAUUAUUUCCAGAUUAUUGCAAUCUAGUUGUGCCUGCCUGCCGAUCUUAAUUAGCUCGGUCCGUCUCAGGUGAAGACACACGCACACACACAAAUCAAGAUGAGGCUUCCGAUGGUUGAUUGCCGGAACUUGAUCGAGUUUUGCAGAACUUUUGAACAGCACAAGAACGGCUUCAAUUCCAAUUCACUGAGCGUUUCUCGCACCAAAAGGCAUCACCAUGAUUUUAGUAGUUCGCUAAACCCUUUCUCUCAUCAAUUUUGUAGUCGCUCUCCAUUCGCUGUCCUGGAAGUGAUUAUGCUUCUAAUAGCAAUCGGAUCUUUGGGAUUCUUGAUUGUUCCCUACUUUAAACUGAUCUUUUACGAUGGUCUGCCCAUACUUUUUGAUCUAAUUAUUGAUGCUGUAGAGAAUGCACCUGUGGCAUAUUUCAUGGGCUUGAUAUUUUUACUUCUUGGAGUCAUAUUCAUCGGUGUUGUUUGGGAAAUUAUUGAUAUGAGGUCGAGGAAAUGUGGGAAUCCACAUUGCAAGGGGUUACGAAGGGCAGUUGAAUACGAUAUUCAGUUGGAAUCAGAGGAAUGUGUCAAGUACUUGCCUGUUUCUGAUGCUUGUGACACUGAUAAUGGGGUGAAGCAGCUGGAAUUGGGACAGGAUCGGAAGGAACUGGAGGCGGAAUUAAAGAGGAUGGCGCCACUCAAUGGAAGGACCGUGUUGAUAUUUCGAGCACCAUGUGGAUGCCUUGCUGGCAGAUUGGAAGUUUGGGGGCCUAAGAAAAUUCGAAGAAUCAAAAAGUAAACAGGCUUGCCAUUUCGUUUUCUUUACCUUAGAUUAGGCAAGAAUAAUUAAGUAUGAGAUACAUCAAUCAUAUUCAGACUAGUUUUGCUGACUUUAUACAAUAAGUGAUGUGUUUCAGGGCUCUAGUAAUAAACAAAUUUGGUAUCCUAUGUAAUCUUGCUUCCACAUAUGGGAUGACCUUAUUUUUUAACAAUGAUAGUUAUUUAUAUCUACCAUCAAGUCCUUUAAUGCAUAUAAACAUCUGUCGUUUUCUGAUGGUUGAACUAUAUGUAGAAGUAUUUAGAGGACCUUUCUACUAAUUUUCAUUUUAUUCAUGCAUAGAUGAUAGAUCAUGUGUAUCUGUGACUUGUCAAAUUUUGUAAAACCUCUAUUCUAAGCAAAGAAAACUUUUGAGUAUCACACAAGGUAGGGAGCAGUGACAGCAAUAUUGAUCAAGUAGUUGUAUAUGGUAUUGCAAUGUAAGUAUGCCACCCUUAUAGGGAACACUCUCUCAUGCCAGAGAGGAGAUAUCCCGUGGUAUCAUGUGUGAGGAUCAGAAUCUGGUGAGGCUGUUUCUCCAAGCCAUCGAGCUCCAAAGCCCUGAGUAGUUCCCAGCUAUGAGUUACAAUGGCUACUGAUAGACUUCUCCUCCAGUAUUUGCAUAUGAAUUGCUUAAGGGUAUUGUUCCUCAUAAUCAUAGGAUGUGCUUUAGUGCUUUGCAUGGCUACUAUAUCACAAAGAAAGCUGGUUGUUUUUGUUCCAAUCAUUCUACGAUUAGCUUCUCCAUAUUGAAUAAUGAGAAUCAUGCCAGAGAGAAGAUAUCUCGUGGUGUCAUGUGUGAGGAUCAGAACAUGGUGAGGCUGUUUCUCCAAGCCAUCGAGCU